AAAACAGCCAACUCUUUGCCUCUCGCACAAGAGGAGAAAGCUCAAUCCAGCUGGGGAGAUUGAUCCGGCGACAUGUCGAGGUGGGCAAGUGGCUUGCUCCCAGCCCUGUUGCUCGCGGCCAUGCUGCUAUAUGCGGGGCCGCUGGUGGUAGUCGGAGAAGACGCACCUCAAGCUUACGCAUACCCACCACCUAGUCCAUGCAUACCAGCAGGCGGCAGAGGACCUUGCUCCAGACCAUGCCAGCCCACGCCUCCUUGUACUGUUCCUCCGUGUCCUCGUCGGCGACCUUGUCCGCCUGGCGCGACUUGAACAGUUUGUCAAAUUUCGUACAGCCGGUAGAAUAAUACGUCCGGCCAGAUCCAGUUAUAUAUAUAUAUAUAUAUAUAUAUAUAUAUAUAUAUAUAUAUAUAUAUAUAUAUAUAUAUAUAUACACGUGAGAUUUUUAAUCAUGUCAAAUCAAACGUUUCAUAGCAAUUAUAGUUGUCAUAGUGAUGUUUUUUUUUUGGCAAGCAUGUCAAAUCCUGCCCCGCCAAAAAAAAGCAUGUCAAAUCCUGACAAAAAGCUGAACACGGCAGAUUUGCCAUGUUUGCUAAAAAAAUUUGGCAUCCCCACGACAACUAUAAUUAAUUGCCAGAAAAAAGUUCGAUUUGCCAUGGUCAAAUAUCUGGCGUUUGAUUUGUAGCGAGGUCCGAAAGUGCAAAUUUGCAGCAUCUUUAUUUCAAUAAUGUACUCGGAAUGCAUAUGUAUCGCAUGAUAUAUCUUCAUGGAAUAUUAGUCCAUAUGAAACGAUGACUUUAUAUGAAUGUGCAUCAGAUUUAAAUCAA